AUGAUGGAUGGUGUGACGGAGCCACCAGAUUGGCUUCCAGAUGGAUGGAUCUGGGAGGUCCGCUGUGAUGACGACGGUGAACACUGUGAGUACUACAUAUGUCCAGUGUCAGGGGCCGAAUUCACGAUGAAGGCAGAGGUCCUGAAGUACCUCUUCUCCGAGAUGGAUGAGCAAUAUAUAGAAUCGAUGGAAGCUGCUGCUGCUGAUUGGAUGCUCCACAAAGCACACGACUGGCUUCCACAGGGGUGGCUGCUUGAGAUCAGAGCAGGCGGGGAAAACAUGGACAAGAUGUACAAGUUUUAUGUUUACCCGCCGCUAGCAGUCCGGUUAUUUUCAAAAGAAGAUGUGCUACUCUAUAUUAAGGAAAUGAAGAUCUCGAAAUGUGAUACAGAUGGACAAUGCGACACAAGCUCUCAAGAAAAAAUUCUAGCAGAAGUGGAUUUAAACCCAUCUAGGCUCCCACCAGGAUGGGUCAAAGAAGUAGUUUUCAGAAAAACAAAGGAAGGAACCAAAAUAAUUAUGCAGUACUAUACGGAUCCUCUUAGCAAUUAUACAUUUCGGACAUUGAAGUCUGCAGUUGGCUACCUUGAAACCAAAGAACUUCCAAAAUUGGCAUUUAUUCAGAACACCAGUGUCCACGAUGUGUACAAUUUUGAGAAGUUUGCAGAUCUGGUAACUGAGCUUCCAAUGUUAUCUAUCAUCAUAGUAAUUAUCCUUGCAAUGUUAUCUCUUCCCAAAGUUCAAUUUUUAGUCUAG
rnacentral:rRNA from 1 species